rnacentral:lncRNA from 1 species
UGCUGAUGGAGAGAUUUAUGUUCAACUACAAGACAAUGUUAGAGGGUGUGAUGUAUAUCUUGUGCAGCCAAUUUGUCCUCCAGCAAAUGAAAAUCUUAUAGAACUCUUGAUAAUGAUUGAUGCUUGUCGGAGAGCAUCAGCCAAAAAUAUUACUUCUGUUAUGCCUUAAUUUUGGAUAUGCUAGAGCUGAUCGAAAGGUAUGUUAUCUAAGAAUUGAGUUAAUUUAAGUGAACCCAGUACUCACAUCGAAAUUUUGAUUUAAAAUAAUAACGUGUUUUGGUAAUCUCAAAAUUACAUAAUGAUCAAUUUAAAUACGAAACACUACAAUCUACUUGCCUUGACCCUGCUGUUUUUCCCUGCUAAAUGAGACAUCAUGAUGCAGCUUAUAGGUUUCUAUUUGAAAGCCCUGAUUUUGUUGCCUCGCAUUGAGUCUUUUUAUCAAAAUUGAAGAAUUCUUACUGGAUAUACAAUGAAACUAUGCAAAUAUUGGUAAACGUCCACAUGCUUCAGGUCUUCACUUUUACUUUUUCUUCUAGAGUGUUUUCACUUUAAAAUUUCUAAAGAAAAAAAAUCUUAAACUAAAAGCAAUUAGAUGCCAAAUGAUAAAAAUAAUGUCAAGUUUUAUUAGGUGUAUGACUAUUAUGUAAUUUCACCUUUAUUUCAUUGACAAUUAGCCUCCACCUGAAUGAAUUUGGUUGAUGAGUGUUGUUAGUAUUCUUUGUUUUGGUACUUCAAUUUCCUAUUUGCAUUUCUUUAUGAACAUUUGCUUCCACUAUAGACACAAGGGCGUGAGUCAAUAGCAGCCAAACUUGUAGCUAAUCUGAUUACUGAAGCUGGUGCAGACCGGGUUCUUGCCUGUGACCUUCAUUCUGGUCAGUCCAUGGGAUAUUUUGACAUUCCAAUGGAUCAUGUACAUGGUCAGGUAAAAGGCCUUGAGAUGUUUGUUCCCAUGACAUCCACAGAAUCUAACACUGGCAUAAUUUCAGUGAGUUUUGGUGCAAUAUUAACCCAAGAAAAUUUGGAAGCUGAUGAAUUGAAGAUUGGCGAAUGGGGCUGACUUAAUUGUCUAUAUGUUGAAUUUCUAUUUGCAAUCUUACUUUAUUGUUCACUUAUUCUGAAGCAAGUAGCCUGUCAUACUUGAUUACCUUGCCAACAAGGCCAUAUGUUCUGAUGUUCUGGUUGUGGUCUCACUGGAUGUUGGCGGGGUUGCUAGAACAAGAGAUUUUGCCAAAAAGUUGUCUGAACUGAAUAUUUGGUAUGCUACAUUUUGUGCCUAUAACACCAAUGGGUUAAUAUACCAUUCGGAUUCUGCAGGUGAUGAAUUUGAUUGGUGACGUGGCAGUUAUGGUGGAUGACAUGAUUGAUACUGCUUGGUAAUUUUUUUUUAUUUUUCUUUAUGAUCCACUUAUUCUUUCACAAUCUUGAAUAAUAGGUAAUCAAAUAGCUGCAGCCUGGGCAUACACAUAUAGAUGCUACACUGCAAAUUCUAUAUUGAAAUCAAGAUCUAAAACUGAAAAGAAUAAGGGGGUGUUCUCU